rnacentral:rRNA from 1 species
CCAAUAGCGUAUAUUAAAGUUGUUGCAGUUAAAAAGCUCGUAGUUGAAUUUCGGGAUCAGUAGGUCGGUCGUGCCACUGGUAUGAACUGGUCUCACUGGUUCCUCCCUCUUGACGAACUGUAAUGCUAUUAAUUUAGUGUUGUAGGAAAUCAGGACUGUUACUUUGAAAAAAUUAGAGUGUUUAAAGCAGGCUUUGGCUUGAAUACAUUAGCAUGGAAUAAUGAAAUAGGACGUUCGAUCCUAUUUUGUUGGCUUCUAGGAUUGACGUAAUGAUUAAUAGGGACAGUUGGGGGCAUUAGUAUUCAAUUGUCAGAGGUGAAAUUCUUGGAUUUAUUGAAGACUAACUACUGCGAAAGCAUUUGCCAAGGAUGUUUUCAUUAAUCAAGAACGAAAGUUAGGGGAUCGAAGACGAUCAGAUACCGUCGUAGUCUUAACCAUAAACUAUGCCGACUAGGGAUCGGAUGAUGUUAAUUUUUUAAUGACUCAUUCGGCGCCUUACG